CCUUUUUAGCUCACCUGGCCGAAAGGCCAAGUGAGCUUUUCUCAUCACUUGGCGUCCGGCGUCCGUCGUCCGUCGUCGUCGUCGUCGUCGUCGUCCUGCGUUAACUUUUACAAAAAUCUUCUCCUCUGAAACUACUGGGCCAAAUUUAACCAAACUUGGCCACAAUCAUCAUUGGGGUAUCUAGUUUAAAAAAUGUGUCCGGUGCCCCGCCCAACCAACCAAGAUGGCCGCCAUGGCUAAAAAUAGAACAUAGGGGUAAAAUGCAGUUUUUGGCUUAUAACUCAAAAACCAAAGCAUUUAGAGCAAAUCUGACAUGGGGGUAAUAUUGUUCAUCAGGUCAAGAUCUAUCUGCCCUGAAAUUUUCAGAUGAAUCGGACAUUUUGUUGUUGGGUUGCUGCCCCUGAAAUGGUAAUUUUAAGGAAAUUUUGCUGUUUUUAGCUCACCUGGCCCAAAGGGCCAAGUGAGCUUUUCCCAUCACUUGGCGUCCGUCGUCCGUCGUCCGUCGUCCGUCGUCGUCUGGCGUCGUUAACUUUUACAAAAAUCUUCUCCUCUGAAACUACUGGGCCAAAUUACACCAAACUUGGCCAAAAUCAUCAUUGGGGUAUCUAGUUUAAAAAAUGUGUCCGGUGACCCGGCCAACCAUCCAAGAUGGCCGCCAUGGCUAAAAAUAGAACAUAGGGGUAAAAUGCAGUUUUUGGCUUAUAACUCAAAAACCAAAGCAUUUAGAGCAAAUCUGACAUGGGGUAAACUUGUGUAACAGGUCAAGAUCUAUCUGCCCUGAAAUUUUCAGAUAAAUCGGAUAACCUGUUGUUGGGUUGCUGCCCCUGAAUUAGUAAUUUUAAGGAAAUUUUGCUGUUUUUGGUUAUUAUCUUGAAUAUUAUUAUAGAUAGAGAUAAACUGUAAACAGCAAUAAUGUUCAGCAAAGUAAUAUUUACAAAUAAGUCAACAUGACCGAAAUGGUCAGUUGACCCCUUUAGGAGUUAUUGCCCUUUAUAGUCAAUUUUUAACCAUUUUUCGUAAAUCUUAGUAAUCUUUUACAAAAAUCUUCUCCUCUGAAACUACUUGGCCAAAUCAAUCCAAACUUGGCCACAACCAUCUUUGGGGUAUGUAGUUUGAAAAAAUGUGUCCAGUGACCCAGCCAUCCAAUCAAGAUGGCCGCCAUGGCUAAAAAUAGAACCUUGGGUAAAAUGCAGUUUUUGGCUUAUAACUCAAAAACCAAAGCAUUUAGAGUAAAUCUGACAUGAGGUAAAUUUGUUUAUCAGGUCAAGAUCUACCUGCCCUGAAAUUUUCAGAUGAAUUGGACAACCCGGUUUUGGGUUGCUGCCCCAGAAUAAGUAAUUUUAAUGAAAUUUUGCUGUUUUUGGUUAUUAUCUUGAAUAUUAUUAUAGAUAGAGAUAAACUGUAAACCGCAAUAAUGUUCAGCAAAAAAAGAUUUACAAAUAAGUCAACAUGACCGAAAUGGUCAGUUGACCCCUUUAGGAGUUAUUGCCCUUAAUAGUCAAUUUUUAACCAUUUUUCGUAAAUCUUAGUAAUCUUUUACAUCUUCUCCUCUGAAACUACUUGGCCAAAUUACACCAAACUUGGCCAAAAUCAUCAUUGGGGUAUCUUGUUUAAAAAAUGUGUCCGGUGACCCGGCCAACCAUCCAAGAUGGCCGCCAUGGCUAAAAAUAGAACAUAGGGGUAAAAUGCAGUUUUGGGCUUAUAACUCAAAAACCAAAGCAUUUAGAGCAAAUCUGACAAGGUAAAAUUGUGUAACAGGUCAAGAUCUAUCUGCCCUGAAAUUUUCAGAUAAAUCGGAUAACCUGUUGUUGGGUUGCUGCCCCUGAAUUAGUAAUUUUAAGGAAAUUUUGCUGUUUUUGGUUAUUAUCUUGAAUAUUAUUAUAGAUAGAGAUAAACUGUAAACAGCAAUAAUGUUCAGCAAAGUAAUAUUUACAAAUAAGUCAACAUGACCGAAAUGGUCAGUUGACCCCUUUAGGAGUUAUUGCCCUUUAUAGUCAAUUUUUAACCAUUUUUCGUAAAUCUUAGUAAUCUUUUACAAAAAUCUUCUCCUCUGAAACUACUUGGCCAAAUCAAUCCAAACUUGGCCACAACCAUCUUUGGGGUAUGUAGUUUGAAAAAUGUGUCCAGUGACCCAGCCAUCCAAUCAAGAUGGCCGCCAUGGCUAAAAAUAGAACCUUGGGUAAAAUGCAGUUUUUGGCUUAUAACUCAAAAACCAAAGCAUUUAGAGUAAAUCUGACAUGAGGUAAAUUUGUUUAUCAGGUCAAGAUCUACCUGCCCUGAAAUUUUCAGAUGAAUUGGACAACCCGGUUUUGGGUUGCUGCCCCAGAAUAAGUAAUUUUAAUGAAAUUUUGCUGUUUUUGGUUAUUAUCUUGAAUAUUAUUAUAGAUAGAGAUAAACUGUAAACCGCAAUAAUGUUCAGCAAAAAAAGAUUUACAAAUAAUUCAACAUGACCGAAAUGGUCAGUUGACCCCUUUAGGAGUUAUUGCCCUUAAUAGUCAAUUUUUAACCAUUUUUCGUAAAUCUUAGUAAUCUUUUACAUCUUCUCCUCUGAAACUACUUGGCCAAAUUACACCAAACUUGGCCAAAAUCAUCAUUGGGGUAUCUUGUUUAAAAAAUGUGUCCAGUGACCCGGCCAACCAUCCAAGAUGGCCGCCAUGGCUAAAAAUAGAACAUAGGGGUAAAAUGCAGUUUUGGGCUUAUAACUCAAAAACCAAAGCAUUUAGAGCAAAUCUGACAAGG
rnacentral:lncRNA from 1 species